rnacentral:rRNA from 1 species
AGAGUUUGAUCAUGGCUCAGGACGAACGCUGGCGGCGUGCCUAAUACAUGCAAGUCGAGCGCGGGAAGCAAGCAGAUCCCUUCGGGGUGACGCUUGUGGAACGAGCGGCGGACGGGUGAGUAACACGUGGGUAACCUGCCUGCAGGAUCGGGAUAACUCCGGGAAACCGGUGCUAAUACCGGAUAAUACUUUCUUCUUCAUGGAGGAAAGAUGAAAGACGGUUUCGGCUGUCACCUGCAGAUGGGCCCGCGGUGCAUUAGCUAGUUGGUGAGGUAACGGCUCACCAAGGCAACGAUGCAUAGCCGACCUGAGAGGGUGAUCGGCCACACUGGGACUGAGACACGGCCCAGACUCCUACGGGAGGCAGCAGUAGGGAAUCUUCCGCAAUGGACGAAAGUCUGACGGAGCAACGCCGCGUGAGUGAUGAAGGUUUUCGGAUCGUAAAACUCUGUUGUAAGGGAAGAACAAGUACGAUAGUAACUGCUCGUACCUUGACGGUACCUUACCAGAAAGCCACGGCUAACUACGUGCCAGCAGCCGCGGUAAUACGUAGGUGGCAAGCGUUGUCCGGAAUUAUUGGGCGUAAAGCGCGCGCAGGCGGUCCUUUAAGUCUGAUGUGAAAUCUUGCGGCUCAACCGUAAGCGGUCAUUGGAAACUGGAGGACUUGAGUGCAGAAGAGGAGAGUGGAAUUCCACGUGUAGCGGUGAAAUGCGUAGAGAUGUGGAGGAACACCAGUGGCGAAGGCGACUCUCUGGUCUGUAACUGACGCUGAGGCGCGAAAGCGUGGGGAGCGAACAGGAUUAGAUACCCUGGUAGU